AGAGUUUGAUCCUGGCUCAGGACGAACGCUGGCGGCGUGCCUAAUACAUGCAAGUAGAACGCUGAAGAGAGGAGCUUGCUCUUCUUGGAUGAGUUGCGAACGGGUGAGUAACGCGUAGGUAACCUGCCUGGUAGCGGGGGAUAACUAUUGGAAACGAUAGCUAAUACCGCAUAAAAUGGAUUAUCGCAUGAUAAUGCAUUGAAAGGUGCAAAUGCAUCACUACCAGAUGGACCUGCGUUGUAUUAGCUAGUUGGUGGGGUAACGGCUCACCAAGGCGACGAUACAUAGCCGACCUGAGAGGGUGAUCGGCCACACUGGGACUGAGACACGGCCCAGACUCCUACGGGAGGCAGCAGUAGGGAAUCUUCGGCAAUGGACGGAAGUCUGACCGAGCAACGCCGCGUGAGUGAAGAAGGUUUUCGGAUCGUAAAGCUCUGUUGUAAGAGAAGAACGAGUGUGAGAGUGGAAAGUUCACACUGUGACGGUAUCUUACCAGAAAGGGACGGCUAACUACGUGCCAGCAGCCGCGGUAA
rnacentral:rRNA from 1 species